rnacentral:rRNA from 1 species
AUGUACCUACGGGGGGCAGCAGUGAGGAAUAUUGGUCAAUGGCCGCAGGGCUGAACCAGCCACGUCGCGUGAGGGAUGACGGUCCUAUGGAUUGUAAACCUCUUUUGUCAGGGAGCAAAGGGCGCCACGUGUGGCGUUUUGCGAGUACCUGAAGAAAAAGCAUCGGCUAACUCCGUGCCAGCAGCCGCGGUAAUACGGAGGAUGCGAGCGUUAUCCGGCUUUAUUGGGUUUAAAGGGGGCGCAGGCGGAAUGUCAAGUAAGCGGUAAAAUUU